rnacentral:rRNA from 1 species
CCUACGGGUGGCUGCAGUGGGGAAUAUUGGACAAUGGGGGGAACCCUGAUCCAGCCAUGCCGCGUGUGUGAAGAAGGCCCUCGGGUUGUAAAGCACUUUCAGUGAGGAAGAACGCCUGGUGGUUAAUACCCAUCAGGAAAGACAUCACUCACAGAAGAAGCACCGGCUAACUCCGUGCCAGCAGCCGCGGUAAUACGGAGGGUGCGAGCGUUAAUCGGAAUUACUGGGCGUAAAGCGCGCGUAGGUGGCUUGAUAAGCCGGUUGUGAAAGCCCCGGGCUCAACCUGGGAACGGCAUCCGGAACUGUCAAGCUAGAGUGCAGGAGAGGAAGGUAGAAUUCCCGGUGUAGCGGUGAAAUGCGUAGAGAUCGGGCGGAAUACCAGUGGCGAAGGCGGCCUUCUGGACUGACACUGACACUGAGGUGCGAAAGCGUGGGUAGCAAACAGGAUUAGAUACCCGUGUAGUC